UUCAUUAGGUGAAAAAUGGAAUGUUCCAUUCAACCAGGCGACAGCCGAGUUGAAUGGAGCAUUCCAUCUUUCACAGAAUGAAAAUAUUCUUAC
rnacentral:miRNA from 1 species